rnacentral:rRNA from 1 species
GAUGAACGCUGGCGGCGUGCCUAAUACAUGCAAGUCGAGCGAACAGACGAGGAGCUUGCUCCUCUGACGUUAGCGGCGGACGGGUGAGUAACACGUGGAUAACCUACCUAUAAGACUGGGAUAACUUCGGGAAACCGGAGCUAAUACCGGAUAAUAUAUUGAACCGCAUGGUUCAAUAGUGAAAGACGGUUUUGCUGUCACUUAUAGCUGGAUCCGCUCCGCAUUAGCUAGUUGGUAAGGUAACGGCUUACCAAGGCGACGAUGCGUAGCCGACCUGAGAGGGUGAUCGGCGGCACUGGAACUGAGACACGGUCCAGACUCCUACGGGAGGCACCAGUAGGGAAUCUUCCGCAAUGGGCGAAAGCCUGACGGAGCAGCGCCGCGUGAGUGGUGAAGGUCUUCGGAUCGUAAAACUCUGUUAUUAGGGAAGAACAAAUGUGUAAGUAACUAUGCACGUCUUGACGGUACCUAAUCAGAAAGCCCCGGCUAACUACGUG